rnacentral:rRNA from 1 species
AUUGAACGCUGGCGGCAUGCCUUACACAUGCAAGUCGAACGGCAGCACGGGUGCUUGCACCUGGUGGCGAGUGGCGAACGGGUGAGUAAUAUAUCGGAACAUACCCUAGAGUGGGGGAUAACGUAGCGAAAGUUACGCUAAUACCGCAUACGAACUAAGGUUGAAAGUGGGGGAUCGCAAGACCUCAUGCUCAUGGAGUGGCCGAUAUCUGAUUAGCUAGUUGGUGAGGUAAAGGCUCACCAAGGCGACGAUCAGUAGCUGGUUUGAGAGAACGACCAGCCACACUGGAACUGAGACACGGUCCAGACUCCUACGGGAGGAAGCAGUGGGGAAUUUUGGACAAGGGAGGCAACCCUGAUCCAGCAAUGCCGCGUGCGUGAAGAAGGCCCUCGGGUUGUAAAGCUCUUUUGUCAGGGAAGAAACGGUCUACUCUAAUACAGUGGGCUAAUGACGGUACCUGAAGAAUAAGCACCGGCUAACUACGUGCCAGCCGCCGCCGUAACAC